UUCCUACGGGGGGCAGCAGUCGAGAAUCUUCCGCAAUGGGCGCAAGCCUGACGGAGCAAUGCCGCGUGAGGGAUGAAGGCCUUCGGGUUGUAAACCUCUGUCAGAGGGGACGAAGAAUGUGACGGUACCCUCAGAGGAAGCCACGGCUAACUACGUGCCAGCAGCCGCGGUAAUACGUAGGUGGCGAGCGUUAUUCGGAUUCACUGGGCGUAAAGGGUCCGUAGGGGGUCUGCCAAGUCCGAUGUGAAAGCCCACGGCUCAACUGUGGAACGGCAUUGGAUACUGGCGGGCUGGAGUCUGCGAGGGGUGAGCGGAAUUCCUGGUGUAGCGGUGGAAUGCGUAGAUAUCAGGAAGAACACCGAUGGCGAAGGCGGCUCACUGGCGCAGUACUGACCCUGAGGGACGAAAGCGUGGGUAGCAAACAGGAUUAGAUACCCUAGUAGUCGA
rnacentral:rRNA from 1 species